rnacentral:rRNA from 1 species
UACGGGGGGGGCAAGCGUUGUUCGGAAUUACUGGGCGUAAAGGGCGCGUAGGCGGCCUUCUAAGUCAGACGUGAAAUCCCCCGGCUCAACCGAGGAACUGCGUCUGAUACUGGAAGGCUUGAAUCCGGGAGAGGGAUGUGGAAUUCCAGGUGUAGCGGUGAAAUGCGUAGAUAUCUGGAGGAACACCGGUGGCGAAGGCGGCAUCCUGGACCGGUAUUGACGCUGAGGCGCGAAAGCUAGGGGAGCAAACGGG